GACGAACGCUAGCGGGAGGCCUAACACAUGCAAGCCGAGCGGUAGAGCCUCUUCGGAAACGUAAGAGCGGCGCAAGGGUGCGUAACACGUGUGCAACAUACCUUCAUCUGGGGGAUAGACUUUCGAAAGGAAGAUUAAUAUCCCAUAAUAUAAUGAUUGGCAUCAAUUAUUAUUGAGAACUCCGGUGGAUAGGGAUGGGCACGCGCAGGAUGAGAUAGUUGGUGAGGGAAAGGCUCACCAAGUCAAUGAUCUUUAGGGGUCCUGAGAGGGAGAUCCCCCACGCUUGUACUGCGACACGGACCAUACGCCUACGGGAGGCAGCAGUGGGGAAGAUGGGACGGUGAGUGGGGGACUGUUCCAGCCAGCCCGCGUGAAGGAUGACGGGCCUAGGGAGUGUAAACUUCUGUUGUACAGGGAUAAAGCUACCCUCGUGAGUGUAGCUGAAGGUACUGUACGAAUAAGCACCGGCUAACUCCGUG
rnacentral:rRNA from 1 species